rnacentral:rRNA from 1 species
GACGAACGCUGGCGGCGUGCUUAACACAUGCAAGUCACGGGGGCCCGCAAGGGUAACCGGCGAACGGGUGCGUAACACGUGAACAAUCUGCCUAGAUGUGGGGGAUAGCCGGCCCAACGGCCGGGUAAUACCGCAUACGCUCUUCGGGUGGCAUCACUUGAAGAGGAAACCUCCGGGGCAUCUAGGGGAGUUCGCGGCCUAUCAGCUAGUUGGUGGGGUAACGGCCUACCAAGGCAAUGACGGGUAGCUGGUCUGAGAGGAUGGCCAGCCACAUUGGGACUGAGAUACGGCCCAGACUCCUACGGGAGGCAGCAGUGGGGAAUAUUGCGCAAUGGCCGAAAGGCUGACGCAGCGACGCCGCGUGGGGGAUGAAGCAUUUCGGUGUGUAAACCCCUGUUGCCCGGGACGAACAAGCGAUUUUGAUCGCUCUGACGGUACCGGGUGAGGAAGCACCGGCUAACUCCGUGCCAGCAGCCGCGGUAAUACGGAGGGUGCGAGCGUUGUCCGGAAUCACUGGGCGUAAAGGGCGCGUAGGCGGUCUGCUAAGCGUGUGGUGAAAGCUCGGGGCUCAACCCCGAGUCUGCCAUGCGAACUGGUGGACUAGAGCACUGUAGAGGCAGGUGGAAUUCCGGGUGUAGCGGUGGAAUGCGUAGAGAUCCGGAAGAACACCAGUGGCGAAGGCGGCCUGCUGGGCAGUAGCUGACGCUGAGGCGCGAUAGCGUGGGGAGCAAACAGG